UGUGUGUGUAUAUAUACGCAUGUGUGAGCGUGUGUGUCGGCGGGAAGAGUGCUGAAACGGCUCUUUCAUGUGAGCCCCUGUUAAACUCUCGCAGAGGAUACGAUCUCAGUCCUGUCGGGAAGGAUUUAAAGCUCGAGCCUGUUCCUUUACCGGCUCCGCGGCGGCGAACACCGAUUUUCAUUACGGAGGGAGAUUGCUCUUGCUUUAGCUCAAGAUGGGUUCUCGCCCGAGCUAGCAGAGAAGAAAGCGCAGGGCUUGUGCAACGGGUGGCUCCCUUAACGGAGAGUGGCAGCUGCACUGGGGCUUGAUUGAGAGAGUUAAUUGAUAGCACUGCUCAUAAUGCCCCUAAUGUUUCACCAUCACGCCGGGGGCGGGGCUUUUUUUUCCGAGAGGAUAAAGAGGAAGAAUCCAGAUGCAAAAUGAAGACGCAGAGCCCUCAUUUAUAACCAUUAUCCUUCCCUCUCAACUCCACCCCCUCAAAAAGAGAACGGAGAGCAUGGUUGAAAAUUACAGUUUUUUUUUGUGAGGAGGAGGAGAAUCUUACGUCCAAAUAUACACUACAACAGACAUACUGAGUCCAUUUAGACACCUUGCUUUGAGGAAAUGGGGCAUCCACAGUAAAGCGCAACAACUAAUGAGCUGUAUGAGAAUAUAUAAUAAAAUAAAACCAAAAUACAUCAAA